AGCGGGAUGAGCUCAAGCUUAAAAUCUCUGUCACAAAUUUAUUUUGUGCGGCGAAUUGUAGUCUAUAGAAGCGUGGUCAGUGUAGGCGCUUGGGUUAAGUUCCUUGAAAAAGGACAGCAUCGAGGGUGAUACUCCCGUUUGUACCUGAGUGUCUUAUGCGUACGACCCGUUUUCUUUGAGUCGCGUUGUUUGAGAAUGCAGCGCAAAGUAGGUGGUAAAUUCCAUCUAAAGCUAAAUAUUGGUGCGAGACCGAUAGCGAACAAGUACCGUGAGGGAAAGAUGAAAAGAACUUUGAAAAGAGAGUUAAAGAGUACCUGAAACUGCUGAAAGGGAACCGGAUCGUUUCUAGUGUCUAUAAUCCGUGACAUAUUUCAUUGGCGGGCGUGUGCGUAUGUGUACUAUGGCAGCGGCUAAUUGGCUGCGCUUGGUGUGCGUGCUGUGUGUGCUUACUGGUGCCCUGUGUUAUGGUGGGACGUCAAGGUCAGUUCGUAUGCUGCGGGAAAUGGCUACUGAGGAGGUAGGGCUUACGCUUGCGUUUGUCUGUUAUAUCUUGGUGGUUUUGUCGUGGUUGGGACUGAGGUGUUCUACAACGUGCUCUUGAGUGGGUCUGCGUCUCCGUGUGCACCGUGUGCAGAUAGCUUGCUAUGUGUGUGUGGUUGUGUGUAGAUUGAUGCGGGCUUGAACUUGUUGCCGUUCGGGACUUUGACGAAAUAGAGCGAUUUGACCCGUCUUGAAACACGGACCAAGGAGUYUAACAUGUGUGCAAGUGUUAGGGUGUGGAAACCCCAGCGCGAAAUUAACGUAAAGGAUAGYGUAAGCUGUCUUAGGUAGGAAACGUUGCGGAUUUCGGUCUGUGGCGU
rnacentral:rRNA from 1 species